UCUGCACUAUCAUGACUGCAGCCUGAAUCUUAUCACUAACAUAUGGUUUAAUUCUAAACUCUAGCUCUUAAUACAAUAAUCAUUCAACAAGACAAUCCACAUAAUCUCUUGCAACUGUAAAGUUAAAAUCAGUGUGUUGAUGAUUGGAACUAGUGGCCAGCUAUGAAUGAAGGCCGACGUAUAGAGGAUGAAGAGGCACCAAUAUUAGACACUGCCAUAUCACUUUUUGGGUACCCAACUAUGUCUU
rnacentral:lncRNA from 1 species